rnacentral:rRNA from 1 species
GGAGGAAAACAAUAAUAAUAAUACUAUUAUUGCGUGACAUUACUUAUAGAAAAAGCACCGGCUAACUCCGUGCCAGCAGCCGCGGUAAUACGGAGGGUGCUAGCGUUAAUCGGAAUUACUGGGCGUAAAGAGUACGUAGGCGGUUUUCUAAGUCAGAUGUGAAAGCCCUAGGCUUAACCUAGGAAUUGCAUUUGAAACUGGUAAGCUAGAGUCUCACAGAGGGGGGUAGAAUUCCAGGUGUAGCGGUGAAAUGCGUAGAUAUCUGGAGGAAUACCAGUGGCGAAGGCGGCCCCCUGGGUGAAGACUGACGCUGAGGUACGAAAGCGUGGGGAGCGAACAGGAUUAGAUACCCUGGUAGUCCAGGCUGUAAACGAUGUCGAUUUGAAGGUUGUGGUCUAUGAAUUAUGGCUUUCGGAGCUAACGUGUUAAAUCGACCGCCUGGGGAGUACGGCCGCAAGGUUAAAACUCAAAUGAAUUGACGGGGGCCCGCACAAGCGGUGGAGCAUGUGGUUUAAUUCGAUGCAACGCGAAGAACCUUACCUACCCUUGACAUCCAAAGAACUGUAUAGAGAUAUUACAGGUGCCUUCGGGAACUUUGAGACAGGUGCUGCAUGGCUGUCGUCAGCUCGUGUUGUGAAAUGUUGGGUUAAGUCCCGCAACGAGCGCAACCCUUAUCCUUUGUUGCCAGCGAAUUAUGUCGGGGACUCAAAGGAGACUGCCGGUGAUAAACCGGAGG